GACGAACGCUGGCGGCGUGCUUAACACAUGCAAGUCGAGCGGUAAGGCCCUUCGGGUACGACGAGCGGCGAACGGGUGAGUAACACGUGGGUGACCUGCCUCUAGCUCUGGGAUAAGCCUGGGAAACUGGGUCUAAUACCGGAUAUGACUCCAUGACGCAUGUUGUGGGGUGGAAAGCCUUGUGCGGCUGAGGAUGGGCCCGCGGCCUAUCAGC
rnacentral:rRNA from 1 species